GUUCUCUUCAGCAGAAUAUAUACUAACAUUGAAGCAAUACAGAAAAAAUUAGCAUAACCCCUGAAAAAGAAUGACAUGUAUUUUGUGAAACAUUUCAUAUUUUU